GACCAUGACACGACCAUGACCAUGGGCUGACCAUGAGCGCGUGAUGACUGUGACCGAGACAUGACCACAACGCAACCAUGGCCAUGUGGUGGUCAAGGCCAUUAGAUGACCAUGACUGUGACCAUAAUACAACCACAACCAUGAAAUGCUCGAGAUCAUGACAUGAUCCUGACUAUGAGAUGACCAAGAGAUAACCAUGUCCAUGACACAACCACAGCUGUGAGGUGAACAUGAUGUGGUUGUGGCCACGAGCUGACCAUGAGAUGACCAUGAGGUAACAAUGAGAUGACCAUGAUCAGGAGAUGACCAUGACAUGACCGUGAGCAUGUGGUGAUUGUGACCAAGAGAUGACCAAGAGAUGACCACAGCACAGCAUGGCCAUGUGAUGAUCAACACCAUGAGAUGGUCAUUCCAAUGAGAUGACCACGACCAUGGAAUAACCAUGACUGUGACACAACCACGACUGUAAGAUGACCAUGAUGUGAUUGUGACCAUGAGAUGACCAUGAGAUGACCAUGACACACCUGUGGUAUGAGGUGAUUGAGACCAUGAGAUGACCGUGACAGUGACCAUGACACAACCAUGACCAUGAGAUGACCAUGAGAUGAUUGUGGCCAUGACUGUUACCAUGAGAUGGCCAUGACUUUGACCGUGAUACAACCAUGACCAUAGAUGACCAUGAGAUGAUUGUGGCCAUGAGUUGACCAUGAGAUGACCAUGAGGUGACCAUGACUGAAGCAUGUCCAUGGGGUGAUCAAGGUCAUGCGAUGACCAUGAGGUGACCAUGACUUAACCAUGGGCAUGGGGUCAUAAAGACCAUGAGAUGAGCAAGAGAUGACCAU